AUACGGAGGAUCCGAGCGUUAUCCGGAUUUAUUGGGUUUAAAGGGUGCGCAGGCGGCCAUUUAAGUCAGCGGUUAAAUCGUGGGGCUCAACCCCAUUCUGCCGUUGAUACUGGGUGGCUUGAUUGCGGUCGAGGUUGGCGGAAUUCGUUGUGUAGCGGUGAAAUGCAUAGAUAUGACGAAGAACACCGAUUGCCUAGGCAGCUGACCAGACCGUAAAUGACGCUCAUGCACGAAAGUGCGGGGAUCGGAAAGGAUUAGAUACCUUGGUAGUCCGCACAGUAAACGAUGAAUACUUGUUUUCGGCGAUAUAAUGUCGGAGGCAAAGCCAAAGCGAUAAGUAUUCAACCUGGGGAGUACGCCGGCAACGGUGAAACUCAAAGGAAUUGACGGGG
rnacentral:rRNA from 1 species